UGGCAGUGAUGAUAGAUUUAAGGCUUGUUUCUCAAAACAUUCGCAGUUGCCGCCUAAGAGCUUUCGCCGAGCCAGGCUUGAGAGCUACUGCUGCUAAUUCCUUCCUUGGAUGUCUGAGCCU
rnacentral:snoRNA from 1 species